rnacentral:rRNA from 1 species
GUGAAAUUGUUGAAAGGGAAACGAUUAAAGUCAGUCGUACCGAUGGACAUUCAACCUCUUGAGUGCGAUUAUGUCGGGUGUUGAGGAGCUUAACCGCCUUCGCGCUUGCGUAUUUGUGCUCUACGGGUGUACUUGUUCGUAUGGUAGGUUAACAUCAAUUUCGGUCGUCAUAAAAUGACGGGAGGAAUGUGGCUUCGAUCUCGCAUUGAAGUGUUAUAGCCUCUGGUAGAUGUGGUGACCGGGAUUGAGGAUUGCAACGAACCCUUCGGGGCCACUUGUCUGGCCUCUGGUGGUCUCUCUGGUGCCGAAAGCUCGCUUACGGUCAUCGGAGUUGGGUGCCAAAAGGUUAGAACGGGUUGAAUUCGUUAAGGAUGUUGACGUAAUGGCUUUAAACGAC